UCUGUGUGUGUGUGUGUUUUAUGUUCGUGUCUGAUUUUUUUAUUUUAAUUGGGAUUGUUUUGGAGGGUUUUCAGGAGGUGUGCUACACCGAUGUAGAGUAGCUAAUACAUUGUCUUCAUUAUUUUUACAGUUAACCUGCAAAUGAGCUGGUGGUUUCUUACUGAGCAACCUAAUUUAUUGGCAGGCCUCCUUACACAACGCUAAUAGGAUGGGACCCAUUGUCUGUGGGCCAGGACCACCAUGCUUCUCUGCCUCCACACAAACACAAUGACCCUCACUGGGCCUUGUCUCAGCAAGACCCGUCUGCUGUAUGGAGUGGGUCUAACCAAACAGCAGCAUUCUCAUGAAGAUUAUUUUUCUUGGAGUGGAGGUGAAGGAAAGUAGGACAGGUUUUCAUCACGAUACGCAACGUGUCAAAUGUAUUACGACUCAUCAUGCAAAUAUGGAACUUUCUGGUAAUUAAAAGUCACUCUUCCAGACGUUAGCGGAGGAACAGUUGUAGGUGCCUGAGCUUUCAUCUGUACAUCUGUAUGUUUGGGUGUACGUGUCUCAAAUAGAUCGAUGGAUCGGGGGCUGGUGAUGAAAACAGAAUGCCUUCUCUGUUGUUGCUUUUUUCCACUACUGCCAGCUGCAUUAUACUGUGGAUGGAGUGUGGCUUGACCAAAAUAAACCUGCAGGCAGUGAAAAAGUGCAUAGAGAAGAGAAAAAUAGAUGUUUUUUACUAUGGCUCCCAUCUAAUAAGCCUUAUAAUCAUGCUUUUCAUUUCUAUUUUAUUGACAGAUGCAACUACUAGGGUUGAAGAGAAUACAGAUUGUUUUUCAAACCUCUAGGAAAGAUUGAGCUCCAGGCCUGCGUGAAAUACGCCACGGAUGAUGUUAUUUUACUUGGACUUACUUAUAUGGGUGAAAGGCAUUUCUGCUGAAAGAAUAGUCCAAAAAUAUGAAGAACUCGAAGUGAAAAUACUCAAGCCAUUAUAUAGACCCACAUGCUUCACUUGUGUUUAGUUAAACUGUCAGUAUACUGACAUUAAACGUGCCCUUUUAAUCACAGGUUUAAUCUUAUAUGUACUCAAGCCACACUGCUUUACGCUAAUGUGUUUAACAGAGACAGAAGCUGAACACUGACACGUAUUAAUGUGUAAAAGCUGAGGUUUUGCAGACCAAAACUUGGUAAAACUUUACAAUAAGGUAGUAAAUGCAUUAGCAAACUAAUAAUAAUUUAACGUUUAUUAAUCUUUGUUAAUUAUAUUUAAUGUCGAUACAGUUAUUCGUGCUAGUUUAUUGUGUUUUAACUAAUGUUUUAAAUGUAUUAGUCACUUAAAGGUGCCGUAGAAUGUAAAACUAUAUUUAUCUAGACAUAGAUGAAUAAUACAAGCUCUGUACAUAGUAAUGGCAUAUUGUGAGCCUCAAACGCGUUUGUUUUGUAAUUCUUAUGUAAACCUUGUGCAUGCAAAAGACAACUGAAAAGCAGAUCAAUCUCAUGACGUUAGUCGAGAUAUACGCCCUGACAUUAAAUGACACAUUAAAUUAAGUACAGUGUU